rnacentral:piRNA from 1 species
UACUGUCCGGAACAAGGACAUACUGUGUGA